rnacentral:misc_RNA from 1 species
UCCGGUUUGACACCGGCAGUCUCGCUAGAGUGCCCAGCAUAACCUGGUGGCAACUAGCGACAGGGGUUUCGCUCGUUAAGGGACUUAACCCGACACUUCACAGCACGAGCUGACGACAGCCAUGCAGCACCUGUGCAUGUUCCACUCUUGCGAGUGUCAUCCCGGUUUCCCGGGACUAAUCCAUGCAUGUCAAGCCUUGGAUAAGGUUCUUCGCGUUGCUUCGAAUUGAGCCACAUGCUCCACCGCUUGUGUGAGCCCCCGUCAAUUCCUUUGAGUUUUAGCCUUGCGACCGUACUCCCCAGGCGGCAUACUUAUCAAUUUUUCUUCGACCCGGAGGGCGUCAGAGCCUCCCGAAUCUAGUAUGCAUAGUUUAGGGCGUGGACUAC